GUAGUACUCCCUCCGUCCGGGAAUACAUGUCAUCAAAAUAAAUAAAAGUGGAUGUAUUUAGAUGUAUUUUAGUUCUAGAUGCAUUCCUUUUUGUCUAUUUUGAUGACAAGUAUUUUCGGACGGAGGGAGUAGUAU
rfam:Triticum aestivum genome assembly, contig: Triticum_aestivum_CS42_TGACv1_scaffold_640709_T_2BS-0.149048_2BL-0.131158